rnacentral:miRNA from 1 species
UUAUAAUUCUACGUACCUGGGG